GGGGGGGGGGGGGGGGGGGGGGGGGGGGGGGGGGGGGGGGGGGGGGGGGGGGGGGGGGGGGGGGGGGGGGGGUGGUGGCUCGGGGGCCGGCCGGGCUGCUGCUGGGGCUCGGCGGCCGCAGACGGUGGAUUUGUGGGAAGAGGACGGGAUGAGAAAUAAACGCACCUGGCCGGCGGUGUUUAGGGGAGCGGGGGCCGGGUGUCCCCCCUGGCCGCCGGAGCCCCUGGACCCCGGCCGCGGACCCGCCGAGCUGCAAUGGACGCUGCUGGCCGCAGAGCGGAGCAUCCCCGCCGCCGCCGAGGAGGGAGAGCUGCCCGCCCGGAGCCGGCCCGCAGCGCGCCCCUCGCCCGGAGAGGGACCGGGAGUUUCCUCCUCGGCAUCGCUCCGGUCACCGCGGGCUGUGCCAGCCGGCCGCCCACAUAGGAACUCCUUGGAUGCGUCGGAAGUGAGCGCUGGGAGCAUUUGGUGAUCUUUGUGGGAGGAAGGCACAAGCCACCCAGGCCCCGUUCCCUCCAUCUUGAGCCUUCCAUGGUGAUUUGCAGCAGCACAGGGAAGUAUGAAGCACUGAGGGACAGAAGCCAGUGUUUAAACCUGGCUUCAGCAUUAACAAUCACACAAGUUUUAGAUAACAGAGGACCAGGAAUAGAAUAGCAGAAGUACUUAAGGUGCCUCUUUUAAAAGUUGUCUUUUGCAUCUCUAAAGAUUAGGGAGCUGCUUAAAAAAGAUGAUUAUACAAGUGUUUUUAUUUACUGUCCUAACAGAAGAUGAUGAUCCGCAUUAUCUUACAUGCAUCUUGGAUGCAUCUGUAUCACCAUAUAGAUUUCAGGGGAGCUGUAUUGAUUUAAGUUAGUAAAGAAACCAGUGAAGUUUUAAAUAGUCAGAAUAAUAUUCUCCCUUUCAGUCAGAUUUGCCCUUCAUGUUACUUGUGUUUCAUAAUCCUCCUAGCUCUCCAUUUCGUCAUUACAAGACCAGCAUCUCUACUGUUAAAAAAAAAAAAAAAAAAAAAGGGGGGGGGGGGGGGGGGGGGGGGGGGGGGGGGG
rnacentral:lncRNA from 12 species